rnacentral:rRNA from 1 species
UACGGAGGGUGCAAACGUUGCUCGGAAUCAUUGGGCGUAAAGCGCACGUAGGCGGUCCUGCAAGUCGGGUGUGAAAGCCCUCGGCUCAACCGAGGAAGUGCAUCCGAAACUGCAGAACUUGAGUAGUGAAGAGGGUCUCGGAAUUCCCGGUGUAGAGGUGAAAUUCGUAGAUAUCGGGAGGAACACCAGCGGCGAAGGCGGAGACCUGGGCACAUACUGACGCUGAGGUGCGAAAGCGUGGGGAGCAAACAGG